rnacentral:rRNA from 1 species
UACGUAGGGGGCAAGCGUUGUCCGGAAUCAUUGGGCGUAAAGCGCGCGUAGGCGGCCCGGUAAGUCCGUUGUAAAAGUCAAAGGCUCAACCUUUGAAAGCCGAUGGAUACUGCCGGGCUAGAAUCCGGAAGAGGCGAGUGGAAUUCCUGGUGUAGCGGUGGAAUGCGCAGAUAUCAGGAGGAACACCAAUAGCGAAGGCAGCUCGCUGGGACGGUAUUGACGCUAAUGCGCGAAAGCGUGGGGAGCAAACAGG